UGGGCGCAAGCCUGAUGCAGCGACGCCGCGUGAGGGAUGACGGCCUUCGGGUUGUAAACCUCUUUCAAUAGGGACGAAGCGCAAGUGACGGUACCUAUAGAAGAAGGACCGGCCAACUACGUGCCAGCAGCCGCGGUAAUACGUAGGGUCCGAGCGUUGUCCGGAAUUACUGGGCGUAAAGAGCUCGUAGGUGGUUUGUCGCGUUGUUCGUGAAAACUCACAGCUUAACUGUGGGCGUGCGGGCGAUACGGGCAGACUGGAGUACUGCAGGGGAGACUGGAAUUCCUGGUGUAGCGGUGGAAUGCGCAGAUAUCAGGAGGAACACCGGUGGCGAAGGCGGGUCUCUGGGCAGUAACUGACGCUGAGGAGCGAAAGCGUGGGGAGCGAACAGGAUUAGAUACCCUGGUAGUCCACGCCGUAAACGGUGGGUACUAGGUGUGGGUUUCCUUCCUUGGGAUCCGUGCCGUAGCUAACGCAUUAAGUACCCCGCCUG
rnacentral:rRNA from 1 species